AUUGAACGCUGGCGGCAGGCCUAACACAUGCAAGUCGAGCGGAAACGACAACAUUGACCCUUCGGGUGAUUUGUUGGGCGUCGAGCGGCGGACGGGUGAGUAAUGCCUGGGAAAUUGCCCUGAUGUGGGGGAUAACUAUUGGAAACGAUAGCUAAUACCGCAUAAUGUCCCUAUUUUUCGAAAUGGGAACCAAAGAGGGGGACCUUUUAGGCCUCUCGCUUCAGGAUAUGCCCAGGUGGGAUUAGCUAGUUGGUGAGGUAAUGGCUCACCAAGGCGACGAUCCCUAGCUGGUCUGAGAGGAUGAUCAGCCACACUGGAACUGAGACACGGUCCAGACUCCUACGGGAGGCAGCAGUGGGGAAUAUUGCACAAUGGGCGCAAGCCUGAUGCAGCCAUGCCGCGUGUAUGAAGAAGGCCUCGGUUGUAAGUAC
rnacentral:rRNA from 1 species